UCAAAUUCUAAGCAAUACAAUUCUAUCUCUUGUCUACCAUUGAUGUUCUUCAACCCUUUCUGACUUCUCCAGAAUUCCUUUUAGUCUUUCUAUUUAAUAUGGUAUCAUCGUUGUCUUUGGCUUGCUGCCAUCGAUUCUGGUGAUCUUUCGCUACUUUGACGAUCUGCUGAAGCUGUGGGCACUUCUAUGUGCGAUUGCUGUUUUGUUUCUACAAUUUGGGGCUUCGGAGAUUGAAGACGGGAUUGUUCUUUGAAGAACGGGUGUUCGUAUUUGUGGUUUGCUAUCAGAGCCAACUAUGCUUUUCAAGGUCAGGCACCACCAGCAUCUCUCUCUUUCAUAAAUGCACAACAAACAACCCAGUUUACACCACAUGAUGCUUAGAUAGUGGACUAUGGUGCAUCUUAUCACACGACAGCUGAUAUUAAUGCUUUGGCACAAGUCACUCCAUUUGAAGGUACUGAGAAAAUCACUAUUGGUAAUGGUUCAAGUUUGCCAAUUCAAAAUAUUGGUUCUACUACAUUGAAACACAACAACCACUCUCUUGUUCUCAAUAAAGUGCUACAUGUUCCCAACAUUGCCAGAAGCUUACUUUCAAUGAAACAGUUAUGUGUUGACAAUAAAAGUUGGUUUAUAUGAUGAGUCUGAGUUUUAUGUGCAUGACAAGAAGACAAGGGAGAUAGUGUAUCAAGGAAAGAGUAGACCUAAAGAACUAUUCCAGAUUCCAGUAAAGCAUCAUACAAGGGGUUUACAGUUUACUUCAAAUGUUCUAGAAGCUUACUUGGGCAAGGUUGUGAAGUCUAGCAUUUGGCAUCAAAGGUUAGGACACCCUGUUACUGAAAUUAUGUCUUCUAUGUUAAAACAAUCUGGGAUUGUAUCUAGUCCAGCUAAUACAUAUAUUAUUUGUAGUUCUUGUAUUCAGGGCAAAAUGUCUAGGAUUUCAUUUCUAGUUAAGAGUGAUAGGUGUGUGUCUCUAUUUGAGAAAGUACACACUAAUAUUUGGGUUCAUCUUCUGUAAAGUCCUUAGAAGGAUAUAGAAACUAUGUAACUUUUGUGGAUGAAUAUAUAAAGUUUGUGUGGAUAUUUCCCAUGAGUAAUAAA